rnacentral:rRNA from 1 species
UACGGGGGGAGCAAGCGUUGUUCGGAUUUACUGGGCGUAAAGAGCGCGCAGGCGGUCGUCCAAGUCGCGUGUGAAAGCCCCCGGCUCAACUGGGGAGGGUCACGCGAUACUGGUCGACUCGAAGGCAGGAGAGGGUAGUGGAAUUCCCGGUGUAGUGGUGAAAUGCGUAGAUAUCGGGAGGAACACCAGUGGCGAAGGCGACUACCUGGCCUGUUCUUGACGCUGAGGCGCGAAAGCUAGGGGAGCAAACGGG